CCCUUAGAUGUCCUGGGCCGCACGCGCGUUACACUGAUGCAUUCAACGAGCUUAUAACCUUGGCCGAGAGGCCUGGGCAAUCUUGUUAACGUGCAUCGUGAUAGGGAUAGAUUAUUGAAAUUAUUAAUCUUGAACGAGGAAUUCCUAGUAAACACAGAUCAUCAAUCUGCAUUGAUUACGUCCCUGCCCUUUGUACACACCGCCCGUCGCACCUACCGAUUGAGUGAUCCGGUGAAUAAUUCGGACUGCAGCAAUGUUUGGAUCCCGAACGUUGCAGCGGAAAGUUUAGUGAACCUUAUCACUUAGAGGAAGGAGAAGUCGUAACA
rnacentral:rRNA from 1 species